rnacentral:rRNA from 1 species
ACAGGGAUUGCCCUAGUAACGGCGAGUGAAGCGGCAACAGCUCAAAUUUGAAAUCUGGCGUCUUUGGCGUCCGAGUUGUAAUUUGCAGAGGGCGCUUUGGCAUUGGCAGCGGUCCAAGUUCCUUGGAACAGGACGUCACAGAGGGUGAGAAUCCCGUACGUGGUCGCUAGCCUUUACCGUGUAAAGCCCCUUCGACGAGUCGAGUUGUUUGGGAAUGCAGCUCUAAAUGGGAGGUAAAUUUCUUCUAAAGCUAAAUACUGGCCAGAGACCGAUAGCGCACAAGUAGAGUGAUCGAAAGAUGAAAAGCACUUUGGAAAGAGAGUUAAAAAGCACGUGAAAUUGUUGAAAGGGAAGCGCUUGCAGCCAGACUUGCCUGUAGUUGCUCAUCCGGGUUUUUACCCGGUGCACUCUUCUAUAGGCAGGCCAGCAUCAGUUUGGGCGGUUGGAUAAAGGUCUCUGUCAUGUACCUCUCUUCGGGGAGAACUUAUAGGGGAGACGACAUGCAACCAGCCUGGACUGAGGUCCGCGCAUCUGCUAGGAUGCUGGCGUAAUGGCUGUAAGCGGCCCGUCUUGAAACACGGACCAAGGAGUCUAACAUCUAUGCGAGUGUUUGGGUGUCAAGCCCGAACGCGUAAUGAAAGUGAACGGAGGUGGGAACCUUUCGGGGUGCACCAUCGACCGAUCCUGAUGUCUUCGGAUGGAUUUGAGUAAGAGCAUAGCUGUUGGGACCCGAAAGAUGGUGAACUAUGCUUGAAUAGGGUGAAGCCAGAGGAAACUCUGGUGGAGGCUCGCAGCGGUUCUGACGUGCAAAUCGAUCGUCAAAUUUGGGCAUAGGGGCGAAAGACUAAUCGAACUAUCUAGUAGCUGGUUCCUGCCGAAG